rnacentral:rRNA from 1 species
GACGAACGCUGGCGGCGUGCUUAACACAUGCAAGUCGAACGGAAAGGCCCUGCUUUUGUGGGGUGCUCGAGUGGCGAACGGGUGAGUAACACGUGAGUAACCUGCCCUUGACUUUGGGAUAACUUCAGGAAACUGGGGCUAAUACCGGAUAGGAGCUCCUGCUGCAUGGUGGGGGUUGGAAAGUUUCGGCGGUUGGGGAUGGACUCGCGGCUUAUCAGCUUGUUGGUGGGGUAGUGGCUUACCAAGGCUUUGACGGGUAGCCGGCCUGAGAGGGUGACCGGGCACAUGGGGACUAAGAGACGGCCCAGACUCCUACGGGAGGCAGCAGGGGGGAAUAUUGCACAAUGGGCGGAAGCCUGAUGCAGCAACGCCGCGGGCGGGAUGACGGCCUGCGGGUUGUAAACCGCUUUCGCCUGUGACGAAGCGGGAGUGACGGUAAUGGGUAAAGAAGCACCGGCUAACUACGUG